ACACAGAUAUCUAUACUAUAGACACAGAAUAAUAUAUGAAAUUUCAUAUAUUCUGUGAUAUAGAUGUCUGUGAUUGUGGAUAGUCUAAUCAAAUUACUAUUUGAUAACACAUCUUAUCUCUAUCAAAUUCACCCAUACUUCUAAACUUAUUGAUGUUAAUUUAUGUUAACUUAUUGUAUAAUUAAUAUCAAUGCAAUUCGAAUAGACGUACUAACUAAUAACUAUUGUUAGUCCUCAUAAUUGAAAUAUAGUUGUUUAUGUAAUUUACAUAACUAGCUUGUAGUUAUUAUGUCUAUGGUGCUACUAUGGGUUAUAACGUUUGAGAUCAUAUUUGGCACUAGUAUCUAGUAUAUUAUUUCUGAAAUUUCAGAAGAUUUAAAGUACAAACUACCUAUUACCGUUGAAAUUUAAAAAAGUUAGGUAUUACAUAAAGCGGAAGUCGGAAGAUAAGGUUCACAAGGUAUCAUCGAUACAUUUUUUCAAUAUGGAUAAUUUAAAAAAACCAAAUAUUUCAAAAAAGAAAAAAGAACAGUUAUCAAAAAAUAUCCUUGAAACUUUAAAAAAAAAAAAGGAAUGUGAGAAAAAAGCAUUAGAUAUUGUGAUUGAGCUAAUCGAUGGUGGAUUUGAAGAAGCGGACUUGUUAAAUAAGCUGCAUUCAAUUAAUCCUUGCCACUAUGAAGAUGUAGUAGAAGAAAGAUUUAUAUUAAAACAAUGUGGAUAUGUUAUGUGUGAAAAGAAGUUGGAGUAUAUACCAAAUCAAAAGUACAAGAUAUCAUUAGCCCUCAAAAAGGUGUAUGAUAUCACAGAAAGGAAGAAAUUUUGCUCCAAUAUAUGCUUUAAAAGUUCAAAAUAUUUACAAAAUCAAUUACUUACCACACCACUGUGGUUGCGCGAAAAAGAUACAGUACCAACAUUUAAAUUAUUAAACUUACAUACAGAUAAGGAUAUUGCAUACCAUUUGCACACCAUACCUGAUGGUCACACAAAAUCAACACCAUUAAUUACUAUUCCUACACCUAGUGAUACCAAGAGAACGCAACUGGGCAGCGACCAAAAUGUGUCCGAGUUGAUGCAACCCCUACCAAUUUCACUUACUGACAACCCGUUUGAUCAUGGUAUUUAACCGUCAGCAACACUAUACAAAAUACAAAGUGGGGGAAACAGUAGCUCGGAAUGGUUGCUGCUGUCAAUCUGCAUGUGAGAAACGAUUGCGUUCCGUCAUGAGCUAGAGUAUACAUUCUUAAUUAUCUUCUGCAAAUACUAUGAUAAAUUAACAAGAUGAUAAAGUGUGGUGAUGAAGUCAUAAUGCUUCUUAAGUAUUUCAUAUAAAAAGACUGAUCUUGAAGAACAACUUAACAACUUAAGUUCUCUUAACAUUAAAAACUAAUAGUUAAAAAAUCAAUUACUGGAAAAGAAUCAACUACCAGCAGAUAAUCAAUUACAUCAGUAAUCA